rnacentral:rRNA from 1 species
AACGAACGCUGGCGGCAUGCCUAACACAUGCAAGUCGAACGAGACCUUCGGGUCUUUUGGCGCACGGCGGCGUAACGCGUGGGAACCUGCCCUUAGGUUCGGAAUAACUCCCCGAAAGGGGUGCUAAUACCGGAUAGUGUCUUCGGACCAAAGAUUUAUCGCCUUUGGAUGGGCCCGCGUUGGAUUAGGUAGUUGGUAGGGUAAAAGCCUACCAAGGCGACGAUCCAUAGCUGGUCUGAGAGGAUGAUCAGCCACACUGGGACUGAGACACGGCCCAGACUCCUACGGGAGGCAGCAGUGGGGAAUAUUGGACAAUGGGCGAAAGCCUGAUCCAGCAAUGCCGCGUGAGUGAUGAAGGCCGUAGGGUUGUAAAGCUCUUUUACCCGGGAUGAUAAUGACGGUACCGGGAGAAUAAGCUCCGGCUAACUACGUG